GCGACUGGGAACACAACAUGGCGGCCGUGACGGGGAGCGCCAGGAGCGGGGCUCGGUGGGGCCCGGCCGCUCAUCCGCCAACCCCGGCACCUACGGGACGGCGCGGCAGGCACAGUAAGAGGAGAUGAAUACCCUGGCUCCCUUUCACUGGUAUGUGAAUUUAUGGCCAUGACUAUUUAUGAGCUGAUAAAAGGUAUGUAGCAUAUGCUUAAGAAACAUAAACUCUCCUUGUGUAGAUCACAAAGUGGAAUUAAUUAUUUUUCACUUGGUUGUUCACUGUGACAGAUUAUAGAACUCACAGGGAAUCUUGUGCUGUACUGCUUUACCCUGUAUUUCUUGCCAGUGGAAUAGACCCAAUUGUUUAAAGCAUGGGUAGAUGCAGUCCAUAGCCAUCUAUUCUACAGUCAAAUAACCUUGACUGCAAAACACAAAAUAAUUGCUUUAUGUUACAAAAAAUAAAAUUUAAACAGAUUCUUUGUUAGGUCA
rnacentral:lncRNA from 1 species